rnacentral:tRNA from 1 species
GCGUCCGUAGCUCAGAUGGAUAGAGCGACGGACUUCGAAUCCGUAGGUCGCAGGUUCGAGUCCUGCCGGACGCA